rnacentral:rRNA from 1 species
UACCCGCUGAGUUUAAGCAUAUCAAUAAGCGGAGGAAAAGAAACUA